rnacentral:lncRNA from 1 species
GUUCUCUGCAGUAUUUCCAUCCUUUGACUUAUCUCUGCUUUUGGUCUCCAUGUGUAUGUUCCCGGCUUUCCGACUCCACCAGAUAGAGGAUGAAUAAAGAGGAAGCUCCAGGCUGUGAAGUGUCUAAUCCUUGCUCCCCUCAGAAGUUGGGACAUGUUGGACCAAGGUGGUAAGGAUAGUGAGAGGCCAAAGAUUUAACAAUACACUGUGAUGCUGGGGCUGGGAGGAGAUUGCACCUUUAUAGCCUGGUGGUGGCAGUCCAGAGUGCAACCCCUAGAGAUGGCAACUUGACAAGACCUCUCAAAAAACACUACACACAGCUUUUGCGCCCCUCAUCCCACUUCUGAGAGUAAGUCCUAUGGCAACAUGUGCACACAUGGAAAAUAAAGUCUGUACAAGGUGAGUUACUGCAGCAUUGUUUAUAAUAGCAAAAUACUGGAAAUGACUCAAAUACUCAUUAAUAGGGCACUAGCCAAGUAAAUUAUAGCACACUUACAUAAACAAAUACUAGGCAGCUGUAACAGAGCUUACUCCUCAUUUUUUUUUUCUUUUUUGAAAUGGAGUUUCGCUCUGUCAUCCAGGCUGGAGCGCAAUGGCACAAUCUUGGCUCACUACAACCUCUGCCUGCUGGGUUCAAGUGAUUCUCCUGCCUCGGCCUCCCAAGUAGCUGGGAUUACAGGCACCUGCCACCACGCCCGGCUAAUUUUUGUAUUUUUAGUGGAGAUGGGGUUUCGCCAUGUUGGCCAGGCUGGUCUCGAACUCCGGACCUCAGGUGAUCCAUCUAUCUUGGCCUCCCAAAGUGCUGGGAUUACAGGAACUCCGGACCUCAGGUGAUCCACCCAUCUUGGCCUCCCAAAGUGCUGGGAUUACAGGCAUGAGCCACCGCGCCCAGCCUACUCCUCUUUUAUGUACUGGU